AACCUUUCACUUGUUUUUUUGGUCUUUGUUGUAAUAGGGAUCGCUGGAAGCAUCUAACUACUCCACCAUCUUGGCCCCGCCUUACCCUAGAGCAACCUUAGAAAUUGUUUAGAGAUGGCAAGACUGUUGUCAGCCUGGGUACCUGGAUCACUGCAUUGAGAAAGCCCACCACAGUGACGGGUCUGUCAUCUGUCCGUUGGUGAUUGAUCGAUCGUGGUCCAGCAUGCAGAAGUGAGUGUGUGGUGAAAAGCAGCAGAGCUGAUGAGUUGUGAAGACGUGUGUUUGAAGGCUGCCACACUCCCUACUGCAGGGAAGGAGCUGUGAUGUAUGACCUGCCCAUGGAGAGACUUAUGUGACAAAGACCUGAGGGAGGGUCCUGAUCAACAGACAGAGAGGGAGUGAGGCCCCCCAGACCAACAGCUCACAGAGUCCUGCUCAUAACAUGGAAGUGACUAAGGAGCAGAUCUCCCCAAUCAAGACUCAGUUGAGACCACAACCACAGGGUCCUGAGAACUUGGGGCAGGCACCAGAUUGUGACCUCCUGGGGACAGGGACCUCAUGGAUCCUUUUCAGGACCAGCUCCCAGACCACCUGCUGAUAUUGAUCCUGCCCUUGCACUAACACUGGAGCUCCAUAGUGCACCAACUAUUCCGUCACCAACAUCAGAUGGACAGACAGCUGGAGGGGUAGGUUUGAAUCCUGGGCCACCUCCAGAAAUGGCUCCCAGGCCACUUCCUGAAGUCGAUCCUGCUUCUGCUCAACAUCAGAGCUCUACAGAGCGCCAGGUCCCCCAUCUCCAGCUGUGCCUCGGUCACCAGAGGUUGAGUCAUUUGCUGCACCUCCUCCACAGCCACGCCUCAUUCACAGCUAGGGAACUUCACCUCCAGAGCCACACCUUUUUUUCAACUCACCUGAGUCGGAAUUUUUUUGGUUUUCUCGUAGUAUUUUUCCAGAUCCCUUUAUACUUCAUAUUUUAUACCAUUUUAACAGGUACAUUUCUCAUAGAAUAAAAUGUUAUAGUAGUUUUAAAGUAUGUAGCAUAGUGGCUUUAUGUACUUUUACAAUCUUAUUCAACCAUCAUCAGUAUCUACUUCAGAACAUUUUCAUCACCACUGUGAUGAUUAAUGUUAUGUGUCAAUUUGGUUAGGCGAUGAUUCUCAGGGGUUUGGCAGAAAUUAUGUAAUCAGCCUCCAUUUUGUGAUCGGAUGUGAGCAGCCAAUCAGUUGGAAGAGGAGUUUCCUUGGAGGAGUGAACUGCAAAUUCACACACCUCCUGGUACCUGGUACCCAGCCAUUAAUCUGGCCAAUGCCUUUUUCUUCAUCCUCGUUUUGAAGAACAGGCCCCCCGCGGUGAAUCACAGCACUGAUCUGUAGGAUUUUGGAGCAGAGCCCUACCAUCCUCUGCAGAUAACUACUCUCUUUUUGAGAAACAGCUUUUGGCUUGUUACUGGGCCUUAGUAGAGACUUAAACGUGGGCCACCGAGUCACCACGUGGCCUGAGCUUCUCAUUAUGAACUGGAUGUUGUUUGACCCACAGAGUCAUAAAGUUGGACUUGCCCAGCAGCACUCCAUCAUUAAUUGAAGCAGUAUAUACAAGAUUGGGCCUGAGCAGGACCUGAAGGCACAAGUAAGUAGCAUGAGGAAAUGGCCCAAAUCCCAUGGUCUCCACUCCUCUCACAUUACCUUUCAUCUCCCAGUCUGCACCUGUGGCCUCAUGGGGUGUUCCUUAUGAUCAGGUGACUGAAGAUGGGAAAACUCGUGCCUGGUUUACAGAUGGCUCUGUGCAAUAUGCAGGCACUAGUUGAAAAUGGAGAGAGGCAGCACUACAGCCCCUUGCUGGGACCUCCCUGAAGGACAGUGGUGAAGGGAAAUCCUCCCAAUGGGCAGAGCUUCGAGCAGUGCACCUGGGUGUUCACUUUGCUUGGAAGGAGAAAUAUCCAUUUGAGCGAUUGUAUGUAUACUGAUUCAUGGGCUGUGGCCAGUGGUUUAGCUGGAUUGUCAAGUUCUUGGAAGGAACAUGAUUGGGAAACUGGAGAUAAGGAUCUGUGGGGAAGAGGUAUGUGGAUAGACCACUUUGAAUGGGCCAAAGAAGUGAAGAUAUUUGUGUCUUAUGUGAAUGCUCACUAAAGAGUGACCUCAGCAGAUGAAGACUUUAACAAUCAAGUGGAUAGGAUGACGUGUUUUAUGGAAACCACUCAUCCUCCUUUCCCAGGUACUUCCAUCAUUGCUCAUGAACAAAGUGGCCAUGAUGGCAGGGAUGGAGGUUAUGCAUGGGUCCAGCAACAUAAACUUCUACUCAUCAAGGCAGACUUGGCGACAACCACUGCCAAGUGCCCAAUCUGGCAGCAGCGGAGACCAACACUGAGUCCCCUAUUCGGCCCCAUCCCUCAAAGUGAUUAUCUAGAAACCUGGUGGCAGGCUGAUUACAUUGGCCCACUUCCAUCAUGGAAAGCGCAGCAUUUGGUGCUCAGGGGAAUAGACACUUACUCUGCAUAUGGAUUUGCUUCCUCUGCAUGCAAUGCUUCUGCCAAAACUGUCACCGAUGCGCUCAGAGAACGCCUUAUCCACCAUCAUAGUAUCCCGCAUGCAUUUCCUUGAAUCAAGGGACUUACUUCACAGCAAAUGAAAUACAACAGUGGGCCCAUGCUCGUGGAAUUCACUGGUCUUACCAUGUUCCCCAUCAUCCUGAAGUAGCUGGCUUGAUAGAAUGAUGGAAUGGACUCCUAAAGACACAAUUACAGUGCCAGCUAGGUGGCAAUACCUUGCAGGGUUGGGGCAGUGUUCACCUAGUGGCUGUAUAUGCUCUAAAUCAACAUCCAGUAUACAGUGUUGUAUCUCCCAUAGCCAGGAUUCAUGGGUCCAAGAAUCAAGGGGAGAAAUGGGAGUAGCACCACUCACUAUUACCCCUAGUGACCCACUCACAAGAUUUUUUGCUUUCCGUGUUCUAGCUUCUUGGUUUGUUUUGUUUUGAUAUGCCCAAAUGGGUUGCUUGAGUGAGCUAGCUGGAUUAUUUUCGCCUUUGAAGCUCAGAUGUCCUGUCACCAGAUGGCUAGAGCUGUUAUGAGAUAUAUCAGUCUAGGAGUCCAUUCACUUUUCUUGUGUGGAUUCAGCUCAUGUAUCCAGGUAGCUCAUCAUGUAGUGUGUGGUACAAGCUCUGUCCUACAAUCUUAGAGGGUCAGAGGUGAUUGUUGUAGGUACUGGUAUCUGGUUCCAGUAGGGAGUCAUGCUGUGAACAAGGCAGGGGGCUGAGAAAGUUUCCCCAAGUGUCUGUGAGGAAAGCGUGUCCCUGUUGCCUAGAGCGUACAUGUGGGUGGGUUCUGUAGAUGGACCAUGGGCCCCGAAUGCUUUUGGUUGUAAGGACUGGGAGGUACCCGUUAUCCUUGGACCCGUCACGGGUGGCUGGAUGACCUGAGUGGAGCCACCAGUCCUUUUGCCCUUGAUGUGGUAGGUGAGGACCCUGUUUAGUAGGCAAAGCGGUAUCAAAUAUCAAACACCCACCUCUCUACUGCACUGCCGAAAUGGUUGCAGUCUGCCAUCAAGGGCCUAUUCUCCUGGAAUAAGCCAUCACAGGUCCCUGCAGGGGGAAAAGAUAUUCAAAGUCAAUGGCCCAUUUAUGCCAGGACAGGAGCCACUUCUGUCCUGAGCUCUGCUGGCUAGUGGAGCUGACUAAUUACCUUUUCCCCCAACUGUGAAUUUAUUCCAAUCUCAUGUGAUCCCCCACAAGAAGUACUGCUUAUGCCAUCAGAAGUAAUCUGCUCACCAGACUGCUAUUGUAGAUCCAGGGCCUAGCCCAGAAGCUCUGGGACAACCCCAUGGAUAUAUUGGCCAGAGUUUCUUGGGGCAUCUGGUGAACCCUAUCCAUGAGGCAGAAAAUUAGAGAGUGCUCCAAAGGACAGAACAGGCAACAAGGUCCGUGUGGAUCCCAGUCUGGGCUCUGGGCAUCCCGCGCCAAUGGUACUGCCACACCUACAAGAGGGGGACAGAAAAUUUCAAGGAAGCCCUCCAAAGCAUGGGUCCCCUGAGGCACAGAUCCUGAAAAGAGGAGCCCUUGGCCUAUACCUAAGGGUAGAGAUUUUCUGUAGUAUGUUUUACAAGUCCUGUCGAAUCCAGAAGGACUGGAACCUCCUGAUAAUAUGUUCAAUGUACGUGAGACAAGUCUCGCCAUCCUUGAUUCUGAGGAGCAUUCUAGCUAUGGGGUGUGUUUUUAAGAUAAAUCUGGGAUCUUUGAAUCUGUCUUCUCUUUCUCUCUCUCAACUCUAAUCACCAGAAACUUCAAAAUAAAAGAAAACAGCAUCCCUCAGGAGUAGAAUACAUGUCUAAGAUGUGUUCCUUUCUUUCUAGAGGCUGGGGAGAAGUGGUUAGUUCUUCAUUCUGAGUUCUUAGGGGAGAGGUAUAAAAAAGGAAGGUUGAUAUUAGCUGUUUUCUUUGCUGGUCCAAGGUCAACGAUAGAGUAAGACAUUAGUUGUGAGAGUACUUCAGCAAAGCCCUUCAUCUCACGAAUAAUUGGCACUGUUUUCGCAGCAUCUCUGUGAGGUUUUUUCCUUAAACUGUUCAGCUGUUUCAAAGGGUAGAGACUAGAGACCAUCGUACUCCCUCCCCAAUCCCUGUCUUUGGAGAGGCAGGUUAAGAAGUUUCUCUGUGAUCAAGUCCUGUGGAAAAGACCUUCUAACUACUUCUCUCCCUUUCUUGUUCAUUCACAGUGCUUGACAGUGAAAACCUCCAAUUACAAUUCUUUGCUUCUCAUUUGGGCUUCUGUCCUCUUAGAGUGCUUGGUACACAGUAGCAAGCAUGGAAAAGUCUCAUGAUCUAAUAAUGCAAGAUAGCAGAAUACCCCUCAUUUCAUGCUCCCUUCAGUACUCAAUGCAAUGGUGUGGCCUAACCUUUGAAGCAUUGCAUUCUCCUAUCAAGUUUUCUGAAUCCAUAUCCUCAGAAAGGACAGACUUAUACCCUGGCAAAUUGGCAGCAAAGUCUCCAUCCGUGUCUGUAGGAUUGACCGAGGGUCCCUGGCACACCACCAUUAACUACACCCGAGAGUAGGUUAUGUCAAAUAUAACAUGGGCGUCUUGAAUGAAGGGACUCUUAUUUGACUUUUUUCUCUGGACCUUGUUUAGUGCCUUUAAUACAGUAAGGAGCCGUAAAUGUUUGUCAGAUGACUAAAUGAAAGGAUGAAUGAAUGAAUGAAUAGAAAUAAAUGAAAACAAUAUAAGGCCACAAUUUCAGUGGAUUCAGAGACCCACUUGAAGCUCAUCUACAUGCACAAGGGGGUCUGCGUUCUAGGAAAUAAUAAAAAAUGUAAGUUUUUGCAAAGAAUGCUUCAGCUUUAGCUGUCUUGAUGAGUCUCCAAACAUACUGGACAGUAGUUCUCAGGCUAGACAUUUAUGGGAAAGCUCCAGGGGAGUAGGUGAAGUCAGUAGUUAGAGAAGUGGGUACAGUAGGAGUAUCGAGCUCUGUGAGGACACUAUUCCUCCUGGUCAGGGUUGCCAGAUAAAACACAGGGUAAUUAGUUAAAUUUUAGUUUCAGAUAAACAACAAAUAAAUAUUUAGUAUCAGUGUGUCCCAUACAAUAUUUGGGAAAUACUUAUACUAAAAUUAUUUGUUAGUUAUGUGAAAUUAAAAUUUAACUAGGUGUCCUGUAUUUUUAUUUGCCAAACCUGGCAACCUUUCUCCUAGUCCAUUCUACUUUGGCUGGAUUCCCUCCCUUGGAUUUGCUAUACCUCUAUCCUCUGUGUACCCAUUUUGCCAAUGGUUCCUCUUUUAUCUCUAGAUGCACUUUAGUUUGAUCCCACACUGACAAGGAUACAAUGAUGAUUUUAGACUGGAUAAAAUGAGGGCACUUAGUUACUAUCACUCUAUUCUCAAAAACAUGGGAAGAGUAAAACCAGGUGUUCCUGUGCCUGUGUCAGAGAGAAAAAGGGCAAAAGAGAGAAAUGAUGAAUCAGUAAGAAAGAAGUUUAAGGUUUACUCUUUUGGGAUAAUCAUGACAACUAGAAAAGGAAUCCUAACCUGCCGUGGCUACAGAAGGAAGUAGUACAACUAAUGUGUGAUUAAGAUAGCGAAGUGGCUUCUGGGAAGAAAUUAGGGAAAAAAAUCCUUGAGGUUUAUAGGAAAUUGCCAACUUCUUGUCAAAGAGAGUGAACUAUUUUUGAAAAUCAGAUGGUGUGGGAGUACUGCUAGUUGCUAAUUCCAAUCUCCAUUCUCUUCUUUUUCUUGAAAAUCAAAACUCUGAAUUCUGACUUUCAUCGAGGCAGCAAUGUGUCUGCCUAAAACAUACAUUUCCCGUCAGCUCUUGCAUCUAGAAAUAGCCAUGUGACAAGUUGUGGCCAGUGAAAUGUGAACAGAAGAUUGGUGGACAUCUCUGGGAGAUCAUUCCUUUCUUAAUAUAGGUGCUACCUCCUCUUCCUUUUUACAUCCUUCUUAUUUCUGCCUCGAGUGCAGAAAUAAGGCAAGGGGUGAAAUAGUCAUCUUGAGAGCAUGAAGCAACUGUGAGCGUGAAAGCCAAAUGCUAAGAGUGGCAGCUCAGAAAGGUAGAAGGAGCCUAGGACAUGACGACUGUGGUGGGCACUGACCUUCUCUACUGAGAUCCCCUUCAGGACUGGAGUCUGUUACCCCCCACUGCUGGGAGGGUGGCCAGUUGAUAGCCUUCAGCUGUGAGCCUUCUCUGGGGAUUACGCUCAGCUGAAGAUGGCACCCCUCCCAAGGUCAUGCCUCCUUCCUGGUGGGCAACCCAUGUCCAGUGACUGGCUUUUGAGGAAAUAUAAAGGCCUGUUCCCUUGCCCCAACUCAGAAAAAUUCUGAAAAACCAUCACAGCUUCAGAUCUCAUGUGAUUGGCUGAGGUCCUCUUGUGACGGCACCACAGCCCAACUUGUUCUCUGUCCAAUCCUGCUUCCUUCCAUUAUCCCAUAGGGAUUGAUCCCAAGAGCGCUCAUUAGUAAACUCCCUGUGUGCAUUCUCCAUCCCAGAGUUGCUUUCUGGGCAAGCAAACUUUCAGCAAUGACUUUGCACAGCUGCUGCACCAGCCUACCUCUGGACUUGUUGAGAAGAUUUUUUAAAAUUUUGGAUAAGCCACUGCAACAGAAUUUUCCACAUGUAUAUUCCAAAGCAAGCCCUGUCUAAUACAGCAGGGUAUUUUAUAUUUUGAACCGUGGCUUUCAAAAUCUAAAUUAAGAUUUGACUCACGAGACUUAGCAUGGGUUGCUGAAGGCUAAUGUAAUAGAAGUGAAACUGCUAGAUUGACAUGGAAACAGUAAGUCCCAUUUGAUUCCUUCUUUGGAAUAGGAGGAUGAGGACAUGACAUUCCCUAAAACUACAGGAAAGGGCAGGGUCUUGAUAUUUCUCACUGGAAGAGUAAAGAAGGAUGAACUCCAAAGAGACUUGGCUUGAUUGAAACACAAAUAUUGACUCUACAAAAGCUGGCAGCCCACAUUGAUUCAGAUAGAUGAAGGAACACGAAGAGCUGGCCAGCAAGGCCCAGAGUAAACAACUCCAGUACCAGGGAUUUAAUGUUCGUAUGUGGAUUUGUGUUGCUAUUGACAGGCUCCUCAGGCAUCAUUAAGCCCGAAACCGAAACAAACCCAUUGCCAUCGCAUCCAUUCUGACUCAUAGUGAGCCUAAAGGACAGAGUAGAACUUCCCCUUAGGAUUUUCAGGGAUCGGUUGGUGGCUGCAAACUGCCGACAUUUUGGUUAGCAGCUGAGCUCUUAACCACUGCACCACCAGGGCUCCCAGGCAUCAUUAGCGCUAGAAAAUCCUGAUGACUAAAAAAAUGUUAAUUAAAGAUUUCAUCAUUGGUGGGGGAGUGUGGGGGAGAGCUCCACAAAAAUGCUGAGAAAUGAGUAAAAAGUAAAAAUGGAAGCAAAAGAUUUGUCUUGCUUCCCAGUAAAUGGAAAAUAAGGUUAAGUACAAACGAUCUUCAAAAAAGAAUUGAAGAAAGUAAAUUCUAGGUAGAAAUCAAGAGCAAAUCCAGGUCUGUUAAGACUACAGAAAAAGCAACCUAAGUGCCCAUCAUUGGCCGAAUGGAUAAUCAAACUAUGAUACAUACACACAAUGGAAUACUAGGCAACAUUAAAGAAUAACAGUGACUCCGCAAAAUAUCUCACAACAUGGAUAAACCUAGAGGACAUUAUGCUAAGUGAAAUAAGUCAAUCACAAAAAGACAAAUAUUAUGUGAGAUCAGUAUUAUAAAAAGUCAAGAAAAGGUUUACACACAGAAAGAAAUAUUCUUUGAUGGUUACCAGGGAUGGGAACAGGAGGGAGGGAAAAUCUCUUACUAAAUAGUAGACACAUAUUAACUUGGGUAAAGGGAAAGGCAUUACACAAUAAGGGGAGGUCAGCAACAUGUGACCAAGGCAAAGGAAGGCACUGGCAGGUAAAUACACAAUUCCGCAAUAACGUAACAACAAACAAUAGUUGAACAGUGGAUAUAUAGGUAGAUAUGUAAGCUGAACAAGUGUGGGAGUACACCCACGAGCAUAUACAUACAUGUAUGUGCUGCCAACAUAUCAAUGUCUACAGUAGAGCACACAGGAGGCAAAGUUAUGGAAACUUUUUAGCCAUAACCAAACUCCUUGAGGGACUGAGUCAUGGGGCUUGAGGGCUUAGGACCAUAGUUUCAGGGGACAUCUAGGUCAAUUGGUAUAACAGUCCAUAAAGACAAGGUCCUACAUCCUACUUUGGUGAGUAGCAACUGGGGUCUUAAAAGCUUCUGAACAGCCAUCUAAGAUACAACUAUUGAUCUCUUUCUGUCUGGAGCAAAGAAGAGUGAAGAAAAUCAAAGAUUCAAGGAAACAGUCAAAAGGACUAAUGGACCACACGAACCAAAGCUUCCACUAGCCUGAGACCAGAACUAGAUGGCAUCUGGCUACCACUACCAACCACUCUGAUUGGGACCAUAAUAGAAGGUCCUGGACAGAGUCGGAGACAACUCUAAAACAAAAUUCAAAUUCAUAAAAAAGACCAGAUUUACUGGUCUGAUAGAGACUGCUGGAACCCCUGAAACUAUGGCCCUUAGAUACUCUUCAAACCUGGAACUGAACCCACUCCUGGAGAUCACCUUUCCGCCAAACAAUAGACCGGCCCCUAAAGUGAAUAACACUCUUGAGGAACCUGCUCCUCAGAACAAUCAACCACACAAGACCAAAAGGGCAGCAUUUUCCCCAGAACAAAAUUCAGAAGGCAAGAAGGGGAGGGGAAGACGGGCUAAUGGGAACCCAGGAAGGAACUGGGGUUUGAGGGGAUUGCAGCUUCUGUCACGAAACAAAACAUGCAUAAAUUGUUGAAUGAGAAAGUAAUAAGCUCUGUAAAAUUUUACUCAAACCACAAGAAAAUGUUCAAAAAAAAAAAGACUACAGAAAACCUGAAA